rnacentral:tRNA from 1 species
AGAAAAGUAAGUUAAAUUUUAGACUAUUUGGUUCAUGUCCAAUCAGCAUACACUCUGUAUUUUUUCUA